CCUCCUCCUCCUCCUCCUCUACAGGAGGCGUCACAGGAGGAGGAGGCACCGGCUGGCGGCUCCUGCGUCCACGCCUCCUCUGAGACGGCUCUGGAACGUCCUCUUCAACUACAGGACGCGUCCUUUGAAAGAGCGACGCCACGCUCCUCUGACGGCCGCCCACCAUCUUUGUUCAAUGACCUACAGUUCAAAGGAAUAAAGAAGCAAUUAGAUAUACAUUCAUAAUAAAUAAAGUAUGACAUGUAUUACAAAAUUAUAAAGUAUUUGCAUGUACAAAAUUAGAAAGUAUUACAUGUACCAUCAUAACUCUCAUUAUCACUAUCAACAUUAUCGAAGUAAUCAUCAUUAUCCGAAGGAGAAGUGUCGUCGUUGUCAUUGCCUUCAUGUAAUCGAUCAAGCAUUUGUAAGUCCUUUGCAUUUCGCACCUCAUCAGCUGCAUCAUCAUCAUCAACCACAACCACAUCCAUUCCUAUCGCUUCAGUUAAGUCUAUCACCAACCUCCCUUCUAGCUCCUCUUCUUGAAAGAACUCUCCUUCAUACGUGUUUGGGUUGAAGUUGUAAUCUUCAUCGUUCGGUAUAGGUAGUCGGCCGUGUGGCGAUACCUUGUGCAUAAUGUACCAACCCUUGAGAUCAACAUUGGUUUGGCAAGCAUAGGAGAGAUAAUAAACCUGUGUGGCCUGUGACGCCACAAUAUACACAUCUUCUCCUAGAUAGGCAGAAUCCUGUCGAAUUUCGAUAAGGCCGAGAUGAGGGGUCUUUCUUGUUACUGUAGGAUCAAACCAAUGGCAUUUGAAUAUGACAGCACGAAGAUUUGUGUGUCCAUAGAAUGAAAUUUCAAACAUUUCUUCAACUCUUCCAUAAUAGUCUAGGCCAUCAGUGCCAGGCGUCAAAACUCCACUAUUUGUGGUUCUUCGAUUGGGCCGACUUCGCUCAUAUGCUGAUGUGUGAAAUCGAUACCCAUUGACAUCAUAACUAGUAUAUGACUUAACCUUAAAGGCUAGGCCGCCGGCAACCUGUCUGAGCUCAUCACUCAUAGACGCAUCGGUGCGGGACUGCAAGUUCAAGCAGGAUAGAUCGCUCUAUUAGUUGAACAUACGAGGUACUGAAUAAAAAGAGGUAUUUUCAACAGUACCUUGGUUUUGAACCAACCAAUGAAAUCAGGGCUCCCUGGCCCCGCACCCUUUGAGAGAAGGGUAUCUAAUUCUUGCGGGGUAGGGUCCCUUGCUUGUUGCCAGUACUGAUGAAGAAAUUCCCUGUAACGAGAAUCGAGGUUAGAAGGAGAAUUCUAAGAAAUUAUUGAAACUAGUCUGUUAAGAACUUACCCAAUGUACGGGUCCACCUCAUCAAGGUUGGUCAAGACAUAUAGCAUGAUACAACGCCAGUCUUUCAUCGUCAAUUUCUUUGUGGUUGGUGCACUUGCCCUUCCAAGUUGCCCUCUGAAAAGGCUUAGGGUCGAUCCAUUUUCGUCUUCAUUGUAACGAGGGGUUGGAUUAUGCACGCUUGGAAGCAUCUCAGAAUAGUACAAUGUUGUGAAGUUUGAAACCUCCUCCAAAACUAAUGCACUUGCAAUGGAAGCCUCAAUUUUGCCUUUGUUUCUGCAUUUUUUGCGAACAGUCUUGAGUGUUCUCUCGACUGUAUAGCAUCAAUGGCCCUGCACAGGCCCCCCCAUUCGUGCCUCAUACGGAAGGUGCAAUAUCAAAUGUUGCAUCGGAUUGAAGAAGCUGGGUGGAAAGAUCUUCUCUAGCUUACAACGCAAGACAGGUGCCGCUUUUUCUAAGUCUUUAAUCAUGGUCCGAGAUAUUUCCUUGGCACAAAGCUGUCGGAAGAAGAAGCUCAACUCUGCCAACACUAUCCAUACACCCUCAGGGACAAAGCCUCGAACCAUCGCCGGAAGAAGCCGCUCAAUCCAUACGUGAAAGUCAUGACUCUUCAUCCCGUUGACUUUUAGAGUACUUAAGUUCACUCCCCUCCUCACAUUCGCUGCAUACCCAUCAGGGAACAUUAGCGUCUGAAUCCAUUGAAGGACUUCCCUCCUUUGUUUGGCAGUCAAGACGUAAUCAGCCUUAGGUCGUUUCUGAUUCUUUCUGUUUGCAGGAGGCCGCAUCUCUUGAGUUGGCCUAUCGCAUAACGUUGCCAGGUCCACUCUAGCCUUAGGGUUGUCCUUUGACUUUUCAGUUUCCAUCAGGGUUGCCCACAGUGCCUCGGCGACAUUCUUUUCAGUGUGCAUUACAUCAAUGUAAUGUGGCAUAAGAAGAUCCUUAUAAUAGGGGAGCCUCGUCAAGCCCGACUUAUGAGUCCACAUAUGAUGCUCAUUAUACCCUUCGAAACGAUCAACUCCUUCCUCAAGCACGAGAGCCUCUAUCUGAUCAUUAAUUUUAGCACCAGUGAACAUUUGCGGUUGAGGAUCUGUCACUACGACACCUUUCCUAAGGUUCUUAAUGUCAUGCCGAAAUGGAUGGUCAAUAGGGAGGAAUUGACGGUGUUGGUCAAAAGACGAAUACUUGCCACCCUUGUUGAGCCAGAUGAACUUCACACGAUCCUUGCAUAAUGGACAUGGGAAUUUACCGUGAACACACCAGCCACAGAAUAUACCGUACGCUAGGAAGUCAUGUAUGGAGUACUGGUACCAAACAUGCAUUUUGAAGGGCUUCUGUGUAGGCCGAUCAUAUGUCCUUCAUUCCAAGCACUGAUUAAUUCAUCAAUCACAGGCUCCAUGAACACACCCAUAUGUUUCCCUGGGUGCCCAGGAAUUAUCAACGACAAGAAUAUGUGCUCACGUCGGAAGGCGACACUGGGGGGAGAUUGAGUGGGAUAACGAACACAGGCCAACAUGAGUAUGGGGCAGCCAUCAAUCCAUAGGGAUUGAACCCAUCUGUUGCCAGCACAACACGCACAUUACGAGCCUCUUCUGCUUUGUCAUGGUGAAUUUUAUCAAAGUGGACCCAUGCUUCACCAUCAGCCGGAUGCACCAGCUUAUCAGGAUUGUAUCGUUUGCCCUCUUUAUGCCACGUCAUCUGUUUUGCAUAUGUCUCGCUCAUGUAUAGCCGUUGGAUCCUCGGAACGAACGGGAGGUGGUGUAGGACUUUGAUGGGGAUCGCAAGUUGUUUCUUUUGGCCAUCCCCAGAGUCAGCCUCUAGAUAUCUGGAGGAGUUGCACUUUGGACAGUAAUUUGCAUCCUUGUAAUCUUUCCUAAAUAGAACACAGUUUUUUGGACAAACAUGUAUCUGCUCGUAGGGUAUCUUAAGUCCAGCAAGGAGUUUCUGGCACUCGUACAAGUUCUUUGGCAGAACGUGGUCAGUUGGCAGCAGGCUACCAACCACCGUCAGCAUUACAUUGAAGAAUUCUCGACUCAUGUUAGCAUCAGACUUAAACGCCAUCAAGCGUCCGAUGGCAUCGAGCUGAUAAAUGUCAGUUUGACCGUGAAGAGGUUUCUGUGCUGAAGACAACAUGUUGUAGAACGCCUUUGCACAUUCCUUGGUCUCCUCAUCUGCACGUCCAUCAAAGAACUGUGCCUGCUGAUAGUCAUCUAACAUGUCUGCGACCCCGGCAUCAUCAUCAACAUGCUCGAUGCGUGGUCUCACGACCUCCUCUCUUGUCCGAUGGGCUUCACCAUGGUAGACCCACCGAGUAUAGUUCGGCAUAAAUCCAUUCUUCAGAAGGUGUUGACCCAUUCUUAUCUUGUCUUGCCAUCUCCUAUUUGCA
rnacentral:lncRNA from 1 species